AAUUAAUUUUGUUCAACUUGCCUGCUACUUUGAUAAUUCUUAUGAAAUUUGGAUUAAAAUUUAAUUUGAUUUAAUACAUCUUUAAAGAAUAAAGAGUUUUAUCUUGUUUUCUUUAGAGCAAAAGAACUAAAAUCUGGUAAACUAACACACGUGUAAUACGCGCCCUUGUAGCUUUAGGUUUCGGGUACUUAAAAGCUUAAACCGAUGUUCAGUUGUCUGAUACUUAACGUUGUUUUUUUUUUUCAUACAGAAAUAGGCAUUACUAAACGCUAUCUAUAUCAUAGUUUUUUUCCGACAGAAAAGCUACAGAUCUAAUUGUCACGUGACGUGUCUACAACAAGCCGUCUUACUAUAAUUUCUGUGAUUAAGGAAAUAUAUAAAAUGUAUAUAGAGAUAUUUCUAAAAGUUUUAAAGCUAGAUCUACCAGUUUUAAAUAAAGAGAUACGUUUUCAAUGCCAAUAUAGUGCUAUAUAUUUAAAAGAUAAUACUGUAAAAGCUAUCUGAGUGUACAAGGCCAUUUGAAAGAUAUCUCUUUGCAUAAAAGUGAGAUCUUUAAUAUAUUUAAAGGCUAGCUCUCUUUUGUUGAAAGAGCCGAUAGAUGGCGUUACAGAGCUAGCAGUGUUUGAAAUGAUAUAUUAAUGAUGAUACUGUAAAGCAGAGAGCACUGCUAGCACCUAUGCCUAACAGCCUAAUAAGAUAUCUUCAAAAUUUUAAGAAAGAUCUCUAUAUGUUAAUAUUUCUGAAAGACGCUUCCUUUAAACGAGGCCACUGCUAUCACCAUAUCAUGCAAUUCCAAAACUUUUAUUUAAUGCGUAUUUUCUUUCCUUAUCAAAUAGUUAAUGAAUUUUGACUUAGCUUGACACUGACUUAUCAUUCUAGAUGCCAUGACAUAAAACUUAUCAUGAUAUGUCAAAAUAAUUUAAGAUUGUCAUUUGUUCCUGAAAGAGAAACAGGACAUAAACAAUGUUGAAGAUCGUUAUAUUUGCCUUUUCUGUAGUGGUUUUGGUUACUGCGAUAACGUACCGUGACUGCGUACCCAAAGGUAAUGAAAAAGUUGUGUCUGUGAGUAAUCUACAGGUGACUCCAGACGUCAUCAAAUUUCCGGGGACAUUUAACGUAUCAGUAAAUCUGACGUUCAGUCGCGAGGUAACGGAACCUGUUGUUGAUUUUGAGCUGAUCAGAUACUUUCUCGGAUUUCCACUGAAACUACCGUGCAGUGGCAGUUCCGUUGUUGGAACAUGCAACAACCUUCCUAUCUGUUCGAUCAGUUCGAUGUUUGACCGUAUCUUAAAGGAAAAUGACACAAAAAUUAUAACAGCUACGGUCAUAAAUUGGAGCGUCUAAUGAAUGCAACUACAGGGCACUACUGGGAGUGUCCUAUCAAACCAGAAACUGUAGUUGUAGACAACGCACCUUUUAGUCUAACAGACAUUUCUCCAUUCAUCCAUCUACUUGCAGAUGGAGACUACACGAUAACGGUUGUGGCAAAAGAGAACAAGACCGGACCUGUUAUCGGUUGUAUUAAAGUAAAUGCGACAAUUGGAGGAGAAGGCCCUGGGUCUAUUUUCGGUUAACUUGUUCAUUUAAUGGUAAAACAAUAACAACAAACGUCUAAAUAAUAAAAUUAAGAAGAAAAACGUAA